rnacentral:rRNA from 1 species
UACAGAGGUCUCAAGCGUUGUUCGGAUUCAUUGGGCGUAAAGGGCGCGUAGGCUGCGGGGCAAGUCGGGUGUGAAAUCUCAGAGCUCAACUCUGAAACUGCAUCGUCGAUACCUGCUUGCUUGAGGACUGGAGAGGAGAUUGGAAUUACGGUGUAGCAGUGAAAUGCGUAGAUAUCGUGAGGAAGACCAGUGGCGAAGGCGGGUCUCUGGACAGUUCCUGACGCUGAGGCACGAAGGCCAGGGGAGCAAACGGG